rnacentral:rRNA from 1 species
GGUGAACGCUGGCGGCGUGCUUAAGAUAUGCAAGUCGAACGGCAGUCUUCGGACUGUAGUGGCGCACGGGUGAGUAACGCGUAACUGACCUACCCCAAAGUCGCGGAUAACGAUUCGAAAGAAUCGCUAAUACGUGAUGUGCUGUCAGAUUGUGUUCUGCCAGUAAAGAUUGAUUGCUUUGGGAUGGGGUUGCGUUCCAUCAGCUAGUUGGUGGGGUAAAGGCCAACCAAGGCGACGACGGAUAGUCGGCCUGAGAGGGUGGCCGGCCACAGGGGCACUGAGACACGGGUCCCACUCCUACGGGAGGCAGCAGUUAGGAAUCUUCCACAAUGGGCGAAAGCCUGAUGGAGCGACGCCGCGUGAGGGAUGAAGGUCUUCGGAUCGUAAACCUCUGAAUCAGGGACGAAAGACACUUCGGUGGGAUGACGGUACCUGAGUAAUAGCACCGGCUAACUCCGUGCCAGCCGCCGCCGUAAAAC